rnacentral:rRNA from 1 species
UACGGAGGGGGCUAGCGUUGUUCGGAAUUACUGGGCGUAAAGCGCGCGUAGGCGGAUUGUUAAGUCGGGGGUGAAAUCCCGGGGCUCAACCCCGGAACUGCCUUCGAUACUGGCAAUCUGGAGUUCGAGAGAGGUGAGUGGAAUUCCGAGUGUAGAGGUGAAAUUCGUAGAUAUUCGGAGGAACACCAGUGGCGAAGGAGGCUCACGGGCUCGAUACUGACGAUGAGGUGCGAAAGCGUGGGGAGCAAACAGG